GAUUUCCCAAUUAGUAAGACCCCUUGUAGACGACGAGGUAGAUAGGUUCGGGGUGGAAGCGCGGCAACGUGUGCAGCUGACGAAUACUAAUCGGUCGAGGGCUUAACCAAA
rnacentral:rRNA from 1 species